rnacentral:rRNA from 1 species
GUGGAUAACCUACCUAUAAGACUGGGAUAACUUCGGGAAACCGGAGCUAAUACCGGAUAAUAUUUUGAACCGCAUGGUUCAAAAGUGAAAGACGGUCUUGCUGUCACUUAUAGAUGGAUCCGCGCUGCAUUAGCUAGUUGGUAAGGUAACGGCUUACCAAGGCAACGAUGCAUAGCCGACCUGAGAGGGUGAUCGGCCACACUGGAAUUGAGACACGGUCCAGACUCCUACGGGAGGCAGCAGUAGGGAAUCUUCCGCAAUGGGCGAAAGCCUGACGGAGCAACGCCGCGUGAGUGAUGAAGGUCUUCGGAUCGUAUAAACUCUGUUAUUAGGGAAGAACAUAUGUGUAAGUAACUGUGCACAUCUUGACGGUACCUAAUCAGAAAGCCACGGCUAACUACGUGCCAGCAGCCGCGGUAAUACGUAGGUGGCAAGCGUUAUCCGGAAUUAUUGGGCGUAAAGCGCGCGUAGGCGGUUUUUUAAGUCUGAUGUGAAACGCCCACGGCUCAACCGUGGAGGGUCAUUGGAAACUGGAAAACUUGGUGCAGAAGAGGAAAGUGGAAUUCCAUGUGUAGCGGUGAAAUGCGCAGAGAUAUGGAGGAACACCAGUGGCGAAGGCGACUUUCUGGUCUGUAACUGACGCUGAUGUGCGAAAGCGUGGGGAUCAAACAGGAUUAGAUACCCUGGUAGUCCACGCCGUAAACGAGUGAGUGCUAAGUGUUAGGGGGUUUCCGCCCCUUAGUGCUGCAGCUAACGCAUUAAGCACUCCGCCUGGGGAGUACGACCGCAAGGUUGAAACUCAAAGGAAUUGACGGGGACCCGCACUAGCGGUGGAGCAUGUGGUUUAAUUCGAAGCAACGCGAAGAACCUUACCAAAUCUUGACAUCCUUUGACAACUCUAGAGAUAGAGCUUUCCCCUUCGGGGGA